rnacentral:lncRNA from 1 species
UUUUUUUUUUUUUUUUUUUUGUGUUUGCUGAUUCUGUUUAGUUCAGCUAAUCUUACUUGAAAGCCAAGGCACAUUGAAGAAAGAAGAAAGAAAGAAAAUUAUACACAAAUAUUACAGCACAAAAACAUUUUAGGCAUCAAGCCAUCAUUUUAUUUAUAAAUAUUCAUUGUAAUUAGUAUAUCAAACACACAAUCACAGCCACAACAAAUUUAAUAAAGCUCUCUCACCAAGCUUAUAACAUGACAUACAUAACCUUAACAAGCUUUUGUUUCAUACUCACACCAUUCUAUCUCUUAUUAUUAUUCAACUACUGAAAUAACCAUGCAUGUUCAUGCCUUGACAAGUGAAGCAUCCACGUCUUUUCCAGCAUGAAUCAGCCAGUGGAGGUACUUAGUUGGAGCAGGCUCAUUCUCAUUGAUAUUCUCAUACUCAAUUGUCCAUUUGGCAUAGUUGGACUGGCCUUUUGGAAUAACUUGUAAGCUAGCCUUGUAGCUCUUUAAUUGUUCCAAAAUGUGUCCUCCAACUGCUUCUGCAGUGACAGUCUUGUUCUCUUCAUCCACCGUAAGCCUUUCUUUCAGAGUCUCAACUUUUCCAUCUGGGCAGUAAAAUAUUUAUCAAAUUAAUCCAUUAUUAUAGGGAUAUUCUACCAAAUUGGUGGCAGAAAAACAUGAAGUUAUGAUGCAUAUCAUCUUGAAAUUCCCAGGAAAAUCACCAUAAUAUCAAACUGUUCUACAGUAAAUUUUAAAAAAAAAAAAUCAUGCAACUCUAAUUUGUAACUAUCAAUCUUACAGAGUAUAGAGUUGGUUUUUGUUACCUAUUGCAUAAGUCCAGAGCUUGACAGAGCCCUUAGUUUUCCAGUCACCUUGAUGAACCUUAACACCAUGAACUUUGUCGGAGCAAAGAUUUGGAAGUUUGUGUGCUUUACCACCAAAGCUCUGGAAGAACUCAUCAGGAUCAGACUUAAUCUUUAUCUCAGCUUCUAACUUUCCAGCUAGAAUUGGACUAGCCAUAAUUGGUUGUAGUAAUGCUGAAAAAUCGCUGUGCACCUUUUCCUAGUAAAUGCUCUACCAACUAAACUGGCUGAACCAUGAUUUAUAGAAUCAAAUUUUCAUUUCACAGUAGCUUUUAGAUUAUUACGUAGAUUAAGUCAACAUUUUGUGCGAAACUGUUUAGCAUAGAUGGUUAAUUGAGUGAAUGCAAAACUUUUUGAUGACAAAGCAUGUUCUAUUUGCAGUAACAAACUUGAUAGUUUUAUUAGAGAGGUAAAAAAUGUCAUACCAUUUAUUCACGUGGUAAGUAGACGAAAAAAGGAUUUUUUUUUUCCAAACUUUAUAAUGUUUUUGGGAUGAUUGAAAAGGGAAAUCAGAGUAUGUUGACAAAUUGUUUUUUUUUUUCCUUUUUUAAUAGGUAGUCACGCGUAUUGUUACAAGAAUGGAAAUGAAAAAAAAUUAUUUUGGCCCUUCAAAUCAAGAAAUUGUACAUUUGUCCGCUUCAUGAAUGGUGAAGCACAUCAGAAAGUCAUCUUUUUUUUUAUUCUUUUUUCUUUCUUUGUUCGAUACUCAACAACACCAUGGAUACGCUCAGCAAAAGUCGCAAACGCCAAAAUCUUGAUGAAAGCAGCUCUUCAGCCAUCAUCAUGUUGAAAAUACUGCAAAACAGUAGUGAAGGGCAUUGCAUUCAUGUAUCAAUAAGGCUACUUCUAAGACAAGAGAAAAGGAUUUGAAUAUUUUCUUUUUAGCUGCACCAAUCUAAUUGUUUGCUAAUUUUGGGCAAUUGACUAGGAUGAUCUUCUCAUCUGCAUUAUCUGCAUUUGAUAAUUGAUAUAGGUAAUUAUCUGCCAACGAAUAAAACAAUUACACGGUUUAAAAAGGGAACCUAAUUGGUACAAAUUGAGAUAGUUACGUUGACAACUACAUUGUGGCAUUGGAGAGAGGGUUGAAUUAGAUGAUAAGUUAAGAGAGAUUGUAAGUAAGAGGUUUAGGGUUAAAGACCUCCCACUUACAAGCCAAAAAAAAAAGCUUCAAGGUGGCAUAAAGUGACUAAAAUGAAAGUUCAAUUUAAAAAGUGAGAACUAAUGCCAUAAUACAGAGUAACAACUUCAAAGUGGCGGUUGCUAAUAAUUGUCAACAUAUACAUGCAAUAUUUAUUGAAACCGAGGACCAAUUGGCAUGUACAGGGAUAAAGAUCUUACUAAUCAAUUGAUCCAUCUGAUUCGAUUACAUUCUUUAUCUUUAUCUUUUUCUUUUCAGAGAAUUGGAAUUUUCUUGCUGUAAAUCUUUUUACUGCAGCAGAUAUCUAGAUGCUCCCCUACAAGCAUAUAUAUUAACCCUUGAACUAGCCAGUCCAGGUUUUUUGUUGGACUAGGCUUAUUGUCGUUCAGUUUUUCAUGGUCAAUCGUACAUUUGGCAAAGCUGGAGUCACCUCUGGAGAUAACUUGUAACGUUGCUUUAUAGUUCUUGUAGUGCUUCAUACAAUCUCCAUCUAUUGCCUCAGCAGCAGUGGUCUUGUUCUCCUCGUCAAUUUUGAGCCUCUCUUUGUAUACCUCAACUUUUCCAUCUAUAUUUGCAUCACAAAGAAAUUCAUCAGUGGCUUUUCUUAACACUGAAUAAUGUUUCACUCUUAAUUUGUUGUUUCCUAUAUUAUCUAGCUUUAGGCUCAAUUUGCCACAUUUUGGGAAAAACGAAUUUAACAAGAAAAUGUAAUGGAGAAAAGUAUCAAUUAUUAAAAACUAUUGAUGCUUCGUUACGCCAAACUAAACUACAAUAUAGACUCCUUAUCCUUGAUGUCUUUCUCAUUUCGUUAUGAAAAUUAGAUAAUUGACUGAGUAUGCUAACUACUUCACAAGCUAGAUCGCAUAAAAAAAAUAAAAAUUCAUAAAACUUAAAGGAGUAAAUGAACAUUAAGAUACAGUAAAGUGAUGGUUUUACCUAAGUACAACAAAUAAGAAGUAGGCGUGGCAUUAUUUUUUGUGCAAAAGGGUAAAAACUUUUAUAAUGAAAGUGUUACAAUUCAAGAGAUGAAUGGUAGUAUUAAAAGAAAGAGUGUAAGUGAGAGAUUCCGAAUUCGAAACCUCGCACUUACACUAAAAAAAAAGAUAGUAAUUUUAAAAGUUUAGUAUUAGGUCCUCUUCUUCUUCUUCUUUUUUUUUGUGCUUAUCUUUUGCCUUUACAACACUCAAUAGAAAAAUCUUAUUAUUCUACCGUCUUUACGUAAGAAGCAAUAAUAUAGAGUCAAUUUCUUUGCAUCCAGUGAAAGGAUAAGGAGAUAAAGUCAAUUGAGGAGGCUAAUUACGAUAAUAUGUCAAGCUCAAUAAAAAUGCCAUGAAACAUAUGAUAAGAGUUGUUGUCAAGAAAUUAUACAAAAAGAUACUGAGGGAAGCCCAAAGCCCGUGAAAAGAAUAUAAAAAAUAAAAGAUUGUGAAUAUAUCAAAUAAAAUUGCGGUCCAUGGGCACGAAAUAAGUUGAGUACAAAUUUUGGCAUGAUCGAUUCAUAAAUUUCUGCUGAAAGAUUGUCUCCUGAAUUAUUUGUGGACAUCGAUUGUGAUGGCUCGGAAAACUUAGUUUCCUCUAAUUCAACAAAUUAGUUAUAUGUUGAUUUAUUUGAUCGAUUCAUAGCUUGCUUUAUCAGUUACCUUUGAUUCAAAAGUCAGUCCAGUGUUUGCAGUACUUACUUAUAAGAAUGUGGUUUAAUAAUUUUGCAGAGUAAAAUUUAGAGAGGUUUCGAGGGCUUAGUUGACGAAAAACAAAUAUAUGGAAGGCCAAGCUAAGAAUCAGGGCCUGACAGAUAUUAUUACACUAUGAGGUCUCAUUUCGAUUUACUCUAGCAUUUAUUUAUUUUUUGAAUAAUUGAAAUGGAAUUCAUAUAUAUUCAUUCUUAAGAAAUUGUUCUGAUCUUGCCCCCUUCCUACCUAGUACUGUAUUAUUUUUUCUUGACAAGGCGCACAAAUAAGUAAGACAUUUUAUUUUAGUUGUCAUGAAUUAGGAAAAGAGCUUUUUUUCUUGAAAUUCAUUUUUUAAUGUUUCUUGAUUUUUGUCUCCUACCAAAAAAAAAAAAAAAAAGUAUUUGUCCUUUUGGUUUCUCAUAUUUUUGCAACUUUUGCAGGUAUGUAUCAACAAAUUGUAAUUGGGAUAUAUGUGUGUGUUUGUGUGUGCGUGCACGCAUGUGUAAGUGUAUGUAUGUACAUACAUGUGCAUAUGUAUAUAUAUGUACAUACAUACAUAUAUACAUACAUAUAUAUGUGUAUAUAUAUGUGUGUGUAUGUAUAUAUAUAUGUAUACAUACAUCACGCACACGCAUAUAUAUAUAUGUGUGUGUGUGCGCGCGCGCGCUUAUGUAUAUAUAUGUAUGUACGUACAUACGUACGUUCAACAAGGAUUUUCAGCCAACUCAUUGCUAUGUGUACUAGCCACAAAGGUAUGCCUAACAACUACCAUUUAAUUGUUGGAUACAUUAAUUAAUCUGAAGGACAAACCUGCAAGGCUGUUGGAUCUCAUUAAUUAAAUAAGAGCCCAGUGCACAUCUUGGUCAUUAUGACCAGUUAAUGGCAAUAAGGUUGUACUCUCUCUCUUGCCGAAGAGUGGCCAAAAUGCCAAAUCGAAGAGGCGCCUUAAUGUUUAUCACUACAAACUUACAAAAAUUAUUUUGGGUUUCUACAGGAAAAUUCUGUUGAAAGGCAAAAAGUUCAACCGACAGAAAAUUGUGUGGAUUAUUAAAUCUUAAUGCACAAUAACUUUUGCGAGAAUCUUAAGCCUAAUUAAUACUCCCUCCAUUCCUUAUUAGAUGUCCUAAUCCAGUGUUUCUUUUUAUCUGUCAUUUUAUGAUAUCAAGAAAGCAUUUAUAAACUUUUUUUCAAAUUUAUCCUUGUUUACCCUUUCAACUUUCUUGAAUUGGAACUCUAAAUAAUUAAAUGCAGUAUUUGUAGUAUUAACAAUAGAAGUAGUUGAAGAGAUGAAGAAUUAAAUUGAAAUGUGUCUAUUAAUUAGGUAUAGUUGAAGAGAGAUAAAGGGUAAUUUUGAGAAGUAAAAUAAAACUUUUGUUGACUUUUAGAAAAUAACCAACUUUCUUAAUCUAAGAGAAUUAGUUAUUCAGGCCAUCUAAUAAGGAACGGAGGGAGUAACUCGUAAUCCACCAUAAGCCGUGAAGAUUGCUGCGGCCAAUGCGAUAGGGAAAAAAAAAAAAAAAAAAGAAACUCGUUUUCCAGUCACCUUCGUGCACUUCAAUCCUGUUAACUUUCUCAUUCACAAGAUCUGGGAGUUGGUGUGCUUUAGCGCCAAAGCUAUGGAAGAACUCAUUAGCAUCAGACAUCAGCCUGAAUUCAGCCUCCAACUUACCUACUAAUUUACUAGUCAUAGUAGAGAGUUCCAAGAAUUGAUCAAACCGAAAAAAAGAAGAAGAAGAAGGAGAAGGAGAAGAAAAGCCCUACUAAUAACCUUGAACAAUACUAUGUUUCAUGCAACUCAGCCACUUGACUACCUGAUCUAUAGAUGCUUCAUUAAUUGGUUGGCUCCCACAAGUUACAAAUGUGUGGUUCUCUUUUCUUUUAGCUGCAAAAUAUGCGUGUAAUCGUGAACAUGAAUGCAUGUUGCAAUAUCUUCUCAUGCAAAUGAUAUACUGCUGCGUUUAGCCAAUACUGUCACACUUGAUUAUUAGUUAAAUUGGUAAAUGCUCCACUUCUGUCUCCAACGGGGAAUUCAAUGGGAAAUAAUGAUGUGGGGUAUAUUUCUUUUUUUAGGGGCGGGUUAUACAUUUUUAUCUAAUCCUUAUCCAUAGCAAGCUGAAAUCAAAAUUGCUCUACAUUUCAAUUGAAGUCCAUGAUAAUUAUUUGGACAAGUUUGAUUUGUUUUGUAUAUGCUUAGGACAACAUGCCAAGAAUCGACCAAAAGCAGACUCACAGAACACUAGCGUAGCUUAAAGGACAAUUUCGAUUUUGGAUAGGUAAUGUUUUGAUAGAUUUUCAGCUUGCACUUUAAACUUCUAUUUUAAAGUCUUUUAGUUUUAUGAAUACACUUUUUUUUCUGUAAUCUAUCUGUAAUCAAAAUAUGUAGUGGGCUUUGAGUAUUCCUAAGAAGAAGCGAAAUUCGCUUUUGCAACAGAAGUAAAAUUAAGAAGUGAUAUUGUUAUUUAAAUUUAUAUAUUUGUUGUGCAGGUGCGUACAUUUAUUGUUCCUAUGCAUACAUUGUAGAGUACAAUUGUAACUAACAUUGUGGAGAUGCUACACGCCAAUGUUGUACUUUCUGCUGGUUUAGUUCACCUCUUUGGGACAUUUAGCAAGAAGUCAGAAUAUGAUAAACAAGUGUGUGUGAUACAGCAAAAUUUUAUUAAAUUACAUGACGAAAUUGUGAUCUAACUGAAGUUUUGCUCAUGUUCCUUCGUUAGAAAAUCAAUUAACGUGUUUGUUAUCACAAGAUUACUUAUGCAAUUUAGAGAUCCUCUUUUGAUUAAGAAACCAAAAGAGAUAUUUAAAGAGAGGAAACUAGAGAGAUCCUUGAAAUUUGAAGGUUCAAAACGGUGAACCGAUGCACUUAGCAUUUAUAUCUUCAUCAACUGAGAUAGAUAUAAAGCCACCUAAACAUUCAUUGAUCUUUGCCUUCAAAAUUCGAAAUUCACUAAUUAGAUUGAUCUUUUCUACGCAGCAUAUAAUUGUAAUUACACAUGCAAUUCGAAAUUCAAGUUACUUGUAUCAAAAGAAUUUUGCUAGUUCAUCUAUGAUGAUAGGAUACCUAAAUCAAAAACUGCAUGAAUGAAAAGUUAUAGGAUGGUACCAGUGAAUGUCGCUUGUUUUGUGGAGUUCUAAACCUUGAGGUGGGUUGGAAUUUAUUGCAGCCAACUUUGAUCCUAUGGGGGGUGGAUAAAAAUCAGACUUUUCCAAUAGAACUGGCUCACACAUUAAAAGGGUGUGAUCCCUUUUCCCUCUUGCCUGUUGCAAUAUGAUUAACUUCCAGUGCGUUUAGGAAAACAUUAGUAUAAAGGAGUGAAAGAACGCCUGAAAUUUGCAAUGACAAAACUGUAUGGACAUUAUUUGUGCAGACAUUUGAGAGAGAAUGCUGAGCUGAUAAUCCUUGAUGGAGCAGGGCAUUCAUGGGCUUAUGAAAAUCUGAGUUUUAUAAGCACCUAAAAACCUUUCUCAUAGGCUGAAUCAACCAACCGACUUAAGGCACUUCAAUCUUUCCUCUUCAACUCAAAGAAGAAAUUUGUCGUUCAACUCAAUUUUCGAGCUAAAAACGUAGGGGAAAGCCUCUAAUCAAUUGAAUUUGUAGGUACACUUGGUUUCGUAGAAUAAAUAACUGACAAUGAUGGUUAAUAAUUCUUUCAACAAUGUUCCAUUCAUGAUGUAUCUCUGCUCAAGCUAUUGCAGAUCAUACAAAUUCCACUUGUGGAAGGAAGACGGGAAAAUUAAACCAUGUUCAUGGCUGGCCACUAAAUCCCUUGUUAAUGACUUCUAAUCAACUACUACUAUUUCAAAGACACCAUAUAUAAGACGACCAAAAUUCAGCUAAACACAUACCGUUCUGGGUAAAAGAUGUCAUGGCCCUCAAAUGACCUAAUCAGCCUAAAUUCAAGAGUACCUAUUAUGAAACGGACCAUAUGCCCAAUUGUUUCACAUCCUAAACUAUCAAAGUAAAAGUAUAUUGAGACAAGAAAAAAAGAAAAAAAAAAGAAUAGACAAACUUUGCUCCCUUUAUUUUCAAAAUAUUCAACCUGUAAGCACUAAUCAAACUGAAUAGUCUCAAAAGCUUAACUCAAUCAUAUAAUGAUCACACAGAAUAGCGAAAAAGAAAGGAGAAGAAGUACUCUGGUUGCAGACUCCUAAUUUGGUUGUUGGAGAAGGGGCGGUAGUAGUGGUUUUUAACUGAGAAUGAUAGAGACUGAGGUUUGAGAGUCUGAGAGUGUAGACUUACGGUUUAGUUCUUUUAUCCUUCAAAAAAAGGGUUUAGUUCUUUAUCCUUCAAAAAAAGGGUUUAUUCUUUUAGGAGUUUUAUUUUUAAAAUUUUUAACGGGAUCAAAUUGACUGCAAUGCCAAGAAACUAGCUGUACUACAAAAGUUAAGGGUAGAAAUUUCUCAAUAAGUUCUGAACACUUAUGUGUUUUAAGUCUUUAAUAUUUACACUAGCGCUCGAUAGCACACUAUAUUCCUACUUGCACUCGAGUCGUUACAACAAUCGAACAUGUUUGAAAUUGAUUCAAACACGAUCAAAGUCGAAACAAGACAAUCCAUUGAUCAAGCAGCUUCAUAUGUGCACCCGAGUUGCUCGAUUCGCAUACAUCCCUAUCGCAAAAUCAUAGUAAUUGAACCUUCAACAUCGAGUAUAGGAUUGGCCUUUGUUAUUCACCUAAUGCUCAAGUACAUAGCCUGACAGAGCCGGCAUUCUUCCAAUCACCUUGAUGAACAUCAAUGCCAUGGACUUUCUCGGAACACAGAUUUGGAAGUUGGUCUGCUUUACAACCAAAGCUAUUGAAGAACUCAUCAGGAUCAGACUUGGAUCUUUAUCUCAGCCUCCAACUUUUCUGCUGUAUUAGCCAUAGUUUUUUCUAGCUCUACUAGUCAAAAAGCUACUGAUUUUCAGCUCACCUUCACCUAGUAGAAUGCAAAUGCUAACGUAUAUGUACUUUAACCAUCGGACCACCGCUUAUAUAGGAUCAGUUCCAUUUUUCCGUACAUUUGUGAUGGUUUGUACUAAUAUCUUUGCUUUUUAUCAAUUCUGUUUUAGGUUUAUGUAGUUAUACCGCUCAUACCUAUGCUUAAAUUUCAAUAUACUAAUUGGGCUUAAGUAGCAAAGUUUUGAAAUUUAAUUUAAAAAGAAAAAAAAACCUGGCUACAUUAUUUUUGGAUUAGGUCAGGAAAUUUGCCUUGCUAUUCUUCUUUAUCAUAGUCAAGACAAAAUUUCUGUUGUUAGACUAUUACCAGGAUUAGGUUAAUUAUCUAUGUCUUUUGAUGCAAUAUCGAGAGGCAACAUGUCCCAGAUUAAAAUUAAGGGGCAGAUAAAAUGUCAUAUUAAUCCAAGAAAACCCAACUGCAACCAGAACUAGAUUUCAUGCUUUGCUUUAUGGCCAUCACCUAAGACGAGUGGGUUAGAAAGAUUUGUUUGCUUGAUAUGUUAUAAUACAGGCUUCGUUAAUAAGUUAUUAAUGCGAAUAUGCAAAACAAAUGGUUACAUUAUAGAUUCCUGUGCUUUGUGUUAAAGCUUCUUUUUUUUUUUUGGCAACAAAUUUUUGGACUGCACGGAUCAUUCCUUGCUGCUUUUAGAUUUCAAAACAGAAGCUACAAAGUACAGAACAUUUUCAGUUUUAGAAAUGCACCUCGGUUUUUCAAAAGGUGCAUUGACUACUGUAAAGAAUAGUUUCAGCUCCCUGAGAUCGAUGCCAGCAAGAUAGUUAAAUCAGCAGUGAUAAAUGUUAUGCAAUGAACCACUGUUAUAUAAAGGAAGCAUGCUGCGAUAAUGAUACCCCAUGAGGAAAAACAGAAACCCUAAUAAUCAUAGCGAUGAUAGUAACACUAAACCUAGAGUUAUGAACUAGUUCUUCGAGUUAAUUAAGAAUUUCUUGGUCCCAUCUAGGGGUGUAAACGAGCCGAAUUCGAGUUAAUUUUAUGAAGCUCGAAUUUUAUGAAACUCGAACUCGAGUUCGAACUCGAGCUCGACGAGCUCAAAAUAUCAAGCUCGAGUCGAGCUCGAGCUUAAAAAAUAAAAAAAUAAUUAUUAUUAUUUUAAAAAUAAAAAAUUAUUAUUAUUAUUAUUAUUAAAAAAUAAUUUUUUAAAAAAUUAUUAUUAUUAUUUUAUCAAGCUCGAGCUCGAGCUUAAAAAAUAAAAAAUUAUUAUUAUUAUUAUUUUAUUUUAUUUUUAAAAAAUAAAAAAUAAUUAUUUAUUUUAAAAAAUGAAUAAAACAAUAAUAUUUUAACAAAUAAUAAAAUAUUAGGAAUAUAUAUGUAAUUUUACUAUUAAAAUAAAAAAUAAAAAUAAAUAUAUAAUUGAGACUCGCGAGUCAACGAGUUUAAUGUUUUUGAACUCGAAUUCGAGCUCGAGAUCGAUUUAAUUAGUUCAAGCUCGACUCGAACUCGAUAUUGAUGAGCUCGAGUCGAGCUCGUAUUCGCUCGAUUCGCGAAACACCCCUAGUCCUUUCUUUGUAGUCAAGUCAUCCAAACAAAAUCGUAUUCCCUCGUUUAUUCCAAUUGUACCAAGAGACCAUUAUUUGGCGAAAAAGACAACAGAGAAAACAUGUCAGAUAUAAUCAUAUAAUCAGUGCUCCCAUAGCCAAAAUGCGCAGGAUUAGAUGUAGUUGGGUAUUAAUGGAUCAAAAUUCUUGACGUCUUCACUUGAGGAGAAGACGACAAACUGAAUUUAACUCGAAAAACUCGAAAAAAAUAAUAAUAAAAUUGCGUUUAAAAGAGCUGCAAUGAAUUUAGUUAGGAAUAUGGAAUUAACCUAUCUGGAGAAAGAUGGACAACAUUAAGCAAACAACAUGCGUUUGAAAACGACUCAGCAUUGAUGAAAGGGUUAAAUGCAAAAUACCCCCGCCAAUUAUACACCUAGUUGCAGUUUACCCCAUAAACUAUAAUAAUAGGCAUUUUGCCUCCUUGAAUGAUAUGUUUGGACAAAUCUAUCCCUUUUAUUUUAAACAUUGUUAUUUUUCUUUUUUCCCUAUCUUUUUCUUUUUAAAUUCUUCCUUUUUUUUUCUUUAAACAUUGUUUAAAUAAGUAGACUAGAUUAGUCAAAAUUUGUUUAUUUCUUAAUUUCAUAUGUCAAUAUUUUAUAAAAAAAAAUUUAUGGAAUACAAGAUUUUUUUUCCAAAUGUUGAAGUCAAUGUCAUUUAGGAAAUUGAACUUUUCAAAUAUAUAAUAACAAAAUAGAGAAAUUGAUUAAUCAAUUAGUAGUAGUAUCAAUAACAAAAAAAAUGAACUACUAUUGUUGUUUAUUCUUAUUUUUUAUUUCACUACAAAUAACAAUUGCUAACUUUUCUUUUUUAUGUGAUAUAUAAUAUGUUACUUUUAUUAUAAGUAGUUGAGUAACUGUGAACUCUUAAUUAGUUUAUAGGCACUUAAAUUGUUGAAUUACUAGAUUAAUACACUUUACAAUAUAAGCUACAUAUAUUUUGUAAUAACAAAGAGUUUAUGACAAAUUAUUAAGAAUGAAUUUAACAAAUAAACAAAUUAAAAAAGCAGUUUAAAGAAUAUUAAAAUUUUUUAUGUAAGUCCUUUCACAUCGGAGAGAGACAUUGGCUAGUUCCACGAAAGAAGGAGAAAAUAAAGAAAAAAAAAGGAAAAAAUGAAAUAGAGAAAAAAAAAAAAAAAAAAGGAUUUCAGAUAGUAGGGAUAGUAUUGUCCAAACAUAUCAUUCAGGGAGGCAAAAUGAUUAUUAUUAUAGUUUAGGGGUAAAAUGCAACUUGAUAUAUAAUUUGUGGGGGUUUUUUGCAUUUAACCCUUGAUGAAAAGACUAAUAAAGUCAACAGUAUGCCCCCACAAAAUUCAAUUUCCAAGUCACCAUUCCAACCACUUCCUUGACUAAUCCUAAACUUGGAGAUUGAGCUCCAAAAAAAAGUUUAUUCAAAGGCAAUACGAUUUGGGAAUUGCAAUGGGAAGCAAGUCGUUAAAUGAAGUAAUCAAACAUCACUUAGUAAAGGCUUACUAAACUAGUUAAUAAAGAUGUUGUUGGGCUGCUGUAUUUACCAUGAAUUGAUUUAAAGAUGAAAGUUCAGGAUCUUUAACAUGGAAUAUGGUGAUUUUUCUCCAAUUCCUCCUGGCUUUCUCUUUCUCUUUUAUUCAGGUCUCCCCGGCAGGAAAACAGAUACACACACACACACACACAUAUAUAGACACAAGCAUUUGAAGGUUCAUUAUCGUGAACCAGUGCACCAAGCAUUUAUAUCUUCAUCAAGCCAAAAAAAAAAAAAAAAAGAAAGAAAGUUAAGAUAGAUAUAAAGCCACACGAAACAUUCAUUUUAUUUUUCGUCAUUACACGUAGAAUCGUUAACACAUACAAAUUACAACCAAGCACUAACAGGAGUAGAAUUGCUAACACUUAUACAAAUUACAACCAAUCACUAGCAGGAGUAGAAUUGCUAACACUUACACAAAUUACAACAAGCACUAACAGGACUAGAAUUGCUAACACUUAUACAAAUUACAACCAAUCACUAGCAGGAGUAGAAUCGCUAACACUUACACAAAUUACAAUCAAGCACUAACAGGAGAGCAAAUUUUUGGAGGCUUCACUAAGCCCAGACAAUGGAGUACAUUAAAGAUUCUCUUUCAUUCUUGUUUUUUUUUACUCCGGGUACCCCGGACCGAGGCAAUGAAGAUAAAUAUAUCACCCAUAGAAGAAUUAUAUGGUAC